UCUCCGUUGGUGAACCAGCGGAGGGAUCAUUACCGAGUUUCUACUCCAAACCCUGCGAACCUACCUAUAAUGCUUCGGCGGCCGGCCCCGGGGGGGGCGCUUCACGGCCGCCGAAAGUACCAAAACCACUUUCAAGUGUCUUCUGAAUGACAAAAAAAAACAAGUCAAAACCUUCAACAACGGAUCUCUUGGUUCUG
rnacentral:misc_RNA from 1 species